rnacentral:lncRNA from 1 species
UAUUUUUAUAAUAAAAUUUAGUUUUUUUAAUAUUUUUAUAUAGUUUUAUAAAUCUAAUUAUUAAUUAAAUAAAAGUUAUAUAAAAAUAAUUUAAUAGUUAAAAUUUAUAUGAAAAAGAUUUGAGAUAAACCUAUCAAAAUAAAUUUUAAAAAUUAAUAAAUAGAAGAAAAAUAAAAUUGUAGAAGAUAUUGUUUAAUAAAAUUAAUUAUAUAUACACACAUACACUAUAUUUCUAAAAUUUUACUCUUGAAACUUAAAUUCCGUAUUUUUUUUAUACAAUGAAAUUUUACGUGAUUUAAAUUUCAUCUAUCAAAUUAGAUUUUAUUACGUGAUUUAUUAUGUGUAUUAUUAAUAAAAUUAAUUAAUUAUAUUAUAUAUAACUAAUUAUUAAUAAAUUUAAUUAAUUAAUUAAUUUCAUAGAGUUUAGAGUUUUAAAAUUUUAAACUUUGAAGCUUCAAAUUUAGAAAUAAAUAUUAUAAGUUAAAAUUGAUAUUGAAAAUUUAAAUAUAAAAUAUAAAAUUUGAAAUUUAAAACUUUAAACUUUGUAAGUAUCAAAAUUUUAAAUUUUGAUAUCAAAAAUUUAAAACUAUAUAUAUAUAUAUAUAGAGAGAGAGAGAGAGGGAGAGAGAAGGGGAGUUUGGGGAGACACGUGUCACCCUGUGGUCCCCCCAAACCCUCCUUUAAUGUAUUUAGAAGAUUAGAUAGAUAGAAGAUAGAUAUCUAACAAAACACCAGCCUAACAAUAAUUAAUACAUUGCCCAUUAGACCAUCCUGCCUCAUCUACUUAAAUGUACAUGCAAGAAUUUAAGUGCCGUGGUAUGGGGCCGUGCCGAAAAUUUGCCGGUACGGUACGGCACGGUGCGUGCCGAGUCGUGCCGAGUCGUGCCGGUCAAAAAUAUUCUUGUGUGCCGACACAUAAUAGCUUAAAAUAUUUAUUAUUUUUAGCAACAAAAUAUUCUAACUAUUUAUUAUAUUUUUUUAUUAUAUUUUUUAAACUUUAUUGAAAAAAUUACUUACUAAUUUAAAAAAUAGAGGGUUUUGACCUGUGCCGUCGGCACGGGAUCUGUAUCGUGUCGAUAUUUUAUUGGCAUGAUACGGUAAGGCAGAUACGAUCCGUGUCGACGGGCACUUAAAAUCUUGUGUACAUGUAAUAAUUUCAAAACUAAUUUGAUCUAAUAUUGUGGACCUGAUAAACCAAACGCAGCCAAACAAGCCGAACUCAACCUUUAAAUUGAUAUUUUUUGUGUGUGUGUGUGUGUGUGUGUGUGUGUGUGUGUGUGGUCAUCCCUUCCAUAGAUCAAACCAAAUGUUCGAUCAGAAUGCUGUGUCUCAAAAUAGAAUUAAAAUAUAUAUAGAGAGAGAGUUCGGUUACUAUAUUAUUAAUCGCAUCAAGUGUCGGAUGCUAUCAAAUUUUUCGUCGUUAUAUAUAUUUCUUUGACCAUUUCUAUCUGUUAGAUUAUACGGUUCAAUCAACCACCUACUCAAUCUGAGAGAACUGCUAUCAUCUUAACCACUCGUCCUUCUCUCUCUCUCUCUCUCUCUCUCUCUCUCUCUCUCUCUCUCUCUCUCUAUAUAUAUAUAUAUAUAUAUAUAUAAAGAUAUAUAUGAGUCUAGCUACUAUACUAUUAUAAGUAUAGAUUUUUUUAUAUUCAUCAGUUUUCAGCUGUUAGAUCUAUCACUUUGACCAUUUUCAUUCGAUAGAUCAAGAUUAUACUAUUCAAUCAAUCACCAACUCCACUCUAGGAGAUUAUUAUCAUCUUAAUCGCAUAUCUCUUCAUUCAACGGCUGAAAACUUCGGAAACAAAAGAAUCUAUAUUCAUAAGAGUAUAGUAGCCCUACUGCCCUAACCAUGUAUUUAGAGUCCGGCUAAUAUAUUCUUAUAAGUAUAAAUUUUUUUACACUCAUAAAUUUUCGCCCGUUAUUUUUUUUUUUU